GUCUACAGCCAUGCUACCCUGAACAAGCCCGAUCCUGUCUGAUCUCGCAAGCUAAGCAGGGUCAGGCGUGGUUAGAACUUGGAUGGGAGACCACUUAGGAACACCAGGUAUUGUAGGCA
rnacentral:rRNA from 1 species